UACGUAGGUGGCAAGCGUUAUCCGGAAUGAUUGGGCGUAAAGGGUGCGUAGGCGGCAAAAUAAGUCUGAAGUAAAAGGCGUUGGCUCAACCAACGUAAGCUUUGGAAACUGUUAAGCUAGCCUGCAGGAGAGGUUAGUGGAAUUCCAUGUGUAGCGGUAAAAUGCGUAGAUAUAUGGAGGAACACCAGUGGCGAAGGCGGCUAACUGGCCUGUAACGGACGCUGAGGCACGAAAGCGUGGGGAGCAAAUAGG
rnacentral:rRNA from 1 species